AAACUUAAAUGAAUUGACGGGACCCGCACAAGCGGUGGAUGAUGUGGUUUAAUUCGAUGCAACGCGAAAACCUUACCCACCUUUGACAUGUACGGAAUCCUUUAGAGAUAGAGGAGUGCUCGAAAGAGAGCCGUAACACAGGUGCUGCAUGGCUGUCGUCAGCUCGUGUCGUGAGAUGUUGGGUUAAGUCCCGCAACGAGCGCAACCCUUGCCAUUAGUUGCUACGAAAGGGCACUCUAAUGGGACUGCCGGUGACAAACCGGAGGAAGGUGGGGAUGACGUCAAGUCCUCAUGGCCCUUAUAGGUGGGGCUACACACGUCAUACAAUGGCUGGUACAGAGGGUUGCCAACCCGCGAGGGGGAGCCAAUCCCAUAAAGCCAGUCGUAGUCCGGAUCGCAGUCUGCAACUCGACUGCGUGAAGUCGGAAUCGCUAGUAAUCGCGGAUCAGAAUGUCGCGGUGAAUACGUUCCCGGGUCUU
rnacentral:rRNA from 1 species